rnacentral:tRNA from 1 species
GCGGGAAUAGCUCAGUUGGCUAGAGCGCCACCUUGCCAAGGUGGAGGCCGCGGGUUCGAGUCCCGUUUCCCGCUCCA